rnacentral:lncRNA from 1 species
GUGUCCAUUUUUUAUUUGAUAUUUUAUCCCAUAUAGUUUUUUCUUUAUCAUAUUGUUCAUAAUUUGUAUUAUAAUAUUUUAAAUUUUUUGGGUUUUUUAUUCCUGAUGUACUAGGUUUUUCAUCCAUGUCUACGUCUCCUGUAUUUAUUUCUAAAUUCUUUGUAUUAUCUAUGUUUGCUAAAAGUUCCGUAUAUGUUUCGCUUGUUUCUGAAUGUUGUCCAUCUAGAUCAUCGUCGUUUAUUUCAUCAAUUCUUAUUUCGGGUAGAUUAUCUUGGCUAUUUUCUNNNN